AAUUCAAACAACAUAGCUCAAACCUUAUAUACUCUAAAAUCCAACCAUAACCAUACAUUUCAAUUAAAAAUAGAGAUAGUGCUAUGCUAAAUCCCGGGUAAAUUUUGUUUGAAAAUUUGUAUUCCCGAUCUAAUUGUAACACAUAAAUUAUCUCAUAUCCUCACAUUUUUCGUCGUCUCCUUCUUGUAUCCUCUUCUCCUUCCUCAUCUUCUUCUGAUCUAGCUUGGCUUCUUCUAAAACUUUUGUUGCUAGGGAUUUGAAUUCUUCUAUAUAUUUUUUCAUGAUGUUUUGCUUUUAUGAUUCAUUUAUUUAUUGGGUGAUUGUAUGUUUUAGAUCCUAAGCCAAACCCUUAAAGAUCUAUAUUUAUUGGGCGACUUCACCUUUCUUCCUUGCUUGAAGUCCUCUGCUUCUUCAGACUCUCAUCAUCACCACAAGGAUUUUUCGUCACCACCGUCGAAUCGAUUGAGAUACAUAUUCUCUCAAGUUGUGGUCCAUCUUGAAACGAUGAUGUAGAAACCAUCACUCAAAUGAUUCCUCAUAUUCUUCUUCCUUGUCCUCCUGGUCCAUGGAUCCCUUACAAAAAUGGUAUCACCAUUCUCUUGUUGAGAAAUAGAACUGGAAAACCCUAAUUUUGGUGUUUGGAAAAUAAUAUGUUUCAGGAUGAAUGGUGUAAUUGGGUAGAAAUUGUGGUAAAUUUUGUAUGGGACUGAAGGAUAAUAUUUUCGGAGAUGUUGUAUGCGUUGUAGAUGACUGGCUAGGAAAACAGGAAAGAAUAACAUUCCUCAAAGAGAAACAAAGAUAAGAAAGUUCUUCCAUAGAUGCUGAGUUGCGGCAACUGUGCAGAGUGGGAGAUAUCCAGUCCCACAAACUCAUUCUUGGCAACGAUAAUGAUUUUGGUAAAAAAAAAAUAUUUCUAUUUUUCUAAUUAGGUUGUACAAUAUAUUCGCUGCUUCUUCCACAGAGAUUGAUUAAGAGUUCAGAACAGUGGAUACUGAAACCAGGAAACCCAUUUAAACGCCAACGAACAUUGGCUUCUUGAAACUCCAUGCUCCAUCAGAAGCUUGAAUAGUCUACAUAGUGCUAUGUUUCACUUCGAAAAAAGAGGAUCCAGAACUGAACGACUUGAUAGCGUGGAAUGUCCUGAAAUAAUACUCACCAGGAUGAAGUUUAACAUAUUUUUAAUGUGGUCUGGUGGGUGCUCUCUGGAAUUUUAUUGUAUCGGCUAAAGUUUUGCUGCUUGGUGGAGCUUCUUUGGGUAUGACAAAGCUAUGAGAUCUAGAAGAAAAAAUAGUUAGUUGAUUAAUUUCAUGCUCUCCUUUUGAAGAUUUGUUGUUCCUUAUAUGCCCAACUACUUCCAUAGAAUGGGAACAUGAAGAUGCCUUGAGUUAUUAUCAAUGGGGAUUAUGGGUAUUUCUUUUGAAAAUAUAUGUCAUUUACUUCAGAAUAAUGAGGUCUACAGUUUCGACUCUUGCUGUUAAUGUGUAGUGGUUCCAGCUUUUAUUGUAAACCUGCUAAGCACCA